rnacentral:rRNA from 1 species
UACGGAGGGUGCAAGCGUUAUCCGGAUUCACUGGGUUUAAAGGGCGCGUAGGAGGGCAGGUAAGUCAGUGGUGAAAUCUCCAAGCUUAACUUGGAAACUGCCGUUGAUACUAUCUGUCUUGAAUAUUGUGGAGGUGAGCGGAAUAUGUCAUGUAGCGGUGAAAUGCUUAGAUAUGACAUAGAACACCAAUUGCGAAGGCAGCUCACUACACAAUCAUUGACUCUGAGGCACGAAAGCGUGGGGAUCAAACAGG